CCUACGGGUGGCAGCAGUGAGGAAUAUUGGUCAAUGGGCGUAAGCCUGAACCAGCCAAUCCGCGUGAGGGAUGCAGGUUCUAUGGAUCGUAAACCUCUUUUAUAUGGGAGUACAGUGCGGGAUGCGUCCCGCUUUGUACGUACCUUAUUAAUUCGGAUCGGCCAACUUCGUGCCAGCAGACGCGGCAAUACGGAGGUUGCGAGCGUUGGCCGGAUUUAUUGGGUGUAAGGGGUGCGUAGUCGGCCUUCUAAGUCAGCGGUGAAAGUCUGGGGUUCAACCAUAGAAUUGCAGUUGAAAUUGGGAGGCGUGAGUAUCUGAGAGGCAGGCGGAAUGCGUGGUGUAGCGGUGAAAUGCGUAGAUAUCACGAGGAACACCGGUUGCGAAGGCGGUCUGC
rnacentral:rRNA from 1 species